CACCACAACAGGUGGAGCCUGCGGUUUAAUCGGACUCAACGCCGGGAAACGUCACCAGAUAAGACAGCUGAAUGAUAGUCGGGCUGAAGACUCUGCUUGACUAGCUGAGAGGAGGUGCAUGGCCGUCGUCAGUUCGUACUGUGAAGCAUCCUGUUAAGUCAGGCAACGAGCGAGACCCACGCCAACAGUUGCCAGCUCGUCCUCCGGGAUGGAGGGGACACUGUUGGGACCGCCUCUGCUAAAGAGGAGGAAGGAAUGGGCAACGGUAGGUCAGCAUGCCCCGAAUUAUCCGGGCUACACGCGGGCUACAAUGGUCAGGACAAUGGGCAUCAACACCGAAAGGUGAAGGCAACCUCUUAAACCUGUCCUUAGUUCGGAUUGUGGGCUGCAACUCGCCCACAUGAAGCUGGAAUCUGUAGUAAUCGUGUCUCAAAAUGGCACGGUGAAUAUGUCCCUGCUCCUU
rnacentral:rRNA from 1 species